GGGAAAGAGGAAGUUUGGAAAUGGCUCUCCUGCUCUGUCCAGGGCUGGCACUGCUGCUGCUGCUGUUCUUGGCAGGUCCUGUACUAGGUUCCACAUAAGAGACCCGAACGGCCUCAGCAAGCUUGCCGUCUGCUCUAGCACAGCCUCAGAGAUCUCCCGGCAAGUCAAGUUCAAAUCUGAUGACCAAAGGGCUCCUAAAGCCUCAUACCCAUUGCUGAGAGAGAAACCCAUCACUUGGGGAAAUAUGACUGAACUUCAUUCAGACUCUAAUGAAAAGAAGAGAUACUCAUGCUCGUUUCACGACACCCAUUCUCUGGCUGCCACCCCAGCACGUAAGGCAUUGAGUAAACAAUGUAGAGCGUCUUCCCACUGGCGGGCGGUUUGAACCGCCCCACCUCUGCUGUGGCGCAGGCAAAGCCUCUGGUGAGUCGUGGCUGGGAGGGUGGGGGUAUGGGGAAGGGAGGGAGAUGGGCCGCUGGCUUCCACCCACGGCCGAUGACCUCGAACAAACCCCCCAUUUUGUUUUCUUCAUGUAAAUGAGAUGAUGGGAUGACACAGGUGCCCUCCAGCAAGAGCUGAGAAAUCCUUCAGACUCGAGACCCUGGCAGUUUGGAUGGUCUUUCUUUAAUAACCCCCCGACACCCGGUGGGGGCUCUGGCCACUCAGCGGGAUGGCAAAUUGGAAGAUGGGGAGCUCUGAGACCCCCCCCCAGGCGCGCCUCAGUUCCCUGUGCGUGGGCCACUGCGAGCGCCGCUGUCAUCCACAACCUCUCCUGCAGCAGGGCCACCCG
ensembl:lincRNA